rnacentral:rRNA from 1 species
CCUACGGGGGGCAGCAGUGGGGAAUAUUGCGCAAUGGGCGAAAGCCUGACGCAGCGACGCCGCGUGAGGGAUGAAGGUCUUCGGAUCGUAAACCUCUGUCAGCAGGGAAGAACGGUCACUGUGCUAAUCAGCAGUGAAUUGACGGUACCUGCAAAGGAAGCACCGGCUAACUCCGUGCCAGCAGUCGCGGUAAUACGGAGGGUGCGAGCGUUAAUCGGAAUUACUGGGCGUAAAGCGCUCGUAGGCGGUAUGUCAAGUCAAGGGUGAAAUCCCCGAGCUCAACGUGGGAACUGCCUUUGAAACUGGCAAACUGGAGUGUGUGAGAGGAGAGUGGAAGUCCAGGUGUAGGAGUGAAAUGCGUAGAUAUCUGGAGGAACAUCAGUGGCGAAGGCGACUAUCUGGCACAUAACUGACGCUGAGGAGCGAAAGCGUGGGUAGCAAACAGGAUUAGAUACCCGAGUAGUC